rnacentral:sRNA from 1 species
GUCGCCGAAACAACGGUGGCCGGGUGUGGAAACCCGAAUAACACACGGCGGACAGCCGCCACUAGGCGGUAUUUUU